GACUCCACCUCUGACAUCGAUCGCAGCCCGCCAGUAACAUCCGAGCUCCUUUCAGAUGGAUUGCCACUUCUCUCCGCUGGAUGCCUCAACCGAGCUUCGGCCAACAGGCCUGGACCCCCCGGAAGGCCGCAGUAACGACCACGACUCUGCUCCACUUCCUGCAACGGCUUUCAUGCGGCUCCAUCACUCCCUGGUAGGCCACAUUAACAGCCACGAUCCUACUCCACUACCUGCGAUGGAUACGGCACAGGUCCCUCACCCUCUGGCAAGCCACGAUAACGGGUGCC
rnacentral:lncRNA from 1 species